rnacentral:rRNA from 1 species
GACGAACGCUGGCGGCGUGCCUAACACAUGCAAGUCGAACGGAACUGUUUUGAAAGAUUUCUUCGGAAUGAAUUUGAUUUAGUUUAGUGGCGGACGGGUGAGUAACGCGUGAGUAACCUGCCUUCAAGAGGGGAAUAACAUUCUGAAAAGAAUGCUCAUACCGCAUGACAUAUCGGAACCACAUGGUUUUGAUAUCAAAGAUUUUAUCGCUUGAAGAUGGACUCGCGUCCGAUUAGUUAGUUGGUGAGGUAACGGCUCACCAAGACCGCGAUCGGUAGCCGGACUGAGAGGUUGAACGGCCACAUUGGGACUGAGACACGGCCCAGACUCCUACGGGAGGCAGCAGUGGGGGACAUUGCGCAAUGGGGGCAACCCUGACGCAGCAACGCCGCGUGAAGGAUGAAGGUUUUCGGAUUGUAAACUUCUUUUAUUAAGGACGAAAAAUGACGGUACUUAAUGAAUAAGCUCCGGCUAACUACGUG